AGUUUCUAUAAUAUUCUUCUCAAGUGUCUCUAUAUGAUUUACUUGCAUAACUAUUGAGCAUAUGUCCCUGAAAAAAUUACUAAUCUUGGUUAAUGCAUCCCUCACUAGGUUGGGCAACAUAUCAUGAAAUGUAAUUAGGAGUAACCUCUUCAUAAACACAUGACAGCCAUAACUUUUAAAUUUAUAAUACCAAAGAUCUUCUACAUUCACACAC
rnacentral:lncRNA from 1 species